AGACUCUGUGCGCGUGCAUAUCAAUAAGCGGAGGAAAAGAAACUAACAAGGAUUCCCUUAGUAACGGCGAGUGAAGCGGGAAGAGCUCAAAUUUGAAAUCUUCAAGGGUUCUACCUUUACGAAUUGUAGUUUAUAGAAGUGUUUUCUGUUAGCGGAGUUGGCUAAAAGUUCUUUGGAAUAGGACAUCAUAGAGGGUGAGAAUCCCGUAUUUGACCGUUACUUUCCAGCUGUGUGAUACACUUUCAAAGAGUCGGAUUGUUUGGGAAUGCAGUCCAAGAUGGGUGGUAAAUUUCAUCUAAAGCUAAAUAUUGGCGAGAGACCGAUAGCGAACAAGUACCGUGAGGGAAAGAUGAAAAGAACUUUGAAAAGAGAGUUAAACAGUACGUGAAAUUGUCAAAAGGGAAGCGUUUGACACCAGUGUUGUUUAGUUCGAAAAUCAAUUCACUAAUUUUUGAUUUUAAGUAGUUAUGACUUCAUCAGCUUGCUGCUCUCUUUACGGAAACUUUCUUGAAUGCACUUUUCAGUUAACAAGUCAACAUCAAUUUCUUUUGUUGUAAAAGGGUACGAGGAAGGUGGCUUACGCUUCGGCGUAAGUGUUUAUAGCCUUUUACCUCUGCAAUCGGAGAGAUUGAGGAUAGCAGCGUAGACUCUUCGGGGUUAGAUACACUUGUGCUAAGCUAUAGCCUUGUAUAGACAACUUGUUGACUAUGCUCAGUCAUGUAGCUUACUCGCUUGUGCUAUUUUACCUACGCUUAGGAUGUUGACAGCAGUAUAGACUGU
rnacentral:rRNA from 1 species